rnacentral:misc_RNA from 1 species
UACGUACCGCACAAACGUUAUUCGGAAUCACUGGGCUUAAAGGGUUCGCAGGCGGCCUAAUAAGUCAGUGGUGAAAUCCCAUAGCUCAACUAUGGAACUGCCAUUGAUACUGUUAGGCUUGAAUGUAGUUGAAGUAGGCGGAAUGUGUAGUGUAGCGGUGAAAUGCUUAGAUAUUACACAGAACACCGAUAGCGAAGGCAGCUUACUAAACUAUGAUUGACGCUCAUGAACGAAAGCGUGGGGAGCGAACAGG